AUGAUUAUAAAUAGAAAUGUUUAUACCAGUCAGUACAAUAAAGGGUUACCAAUAUAAAAGAACAACACCCUCGUAUUUGUUGUGAUCAUGAAUAACUUGAUUAACAAUAUUGUAUGAAAUAUUAUUUCAUCUUACAUAAAUGGUUAUUAUGUGCCUUUGUUUUUUUAUGGGCCUGUCAACAAUGAUUAUAGAAGUCGGAUGAAUUAUAACUAGCUACUAUAAAAGAGGGUUUCAGGUAGGGUUAUAACCAUUUUGAAGACAAUUGAUAAAAAAAAGGAUUCUUCCUGGCUGAACAUCAAACUGAUAAAAAGUUGGUCAGAUUGCAAUGUAGUGUAAAAUAUCGUUAAAUAUAAAAGAAACAAAAUUAUAAUCAAAUACUAAUUAGAAUGGUUGUAAAGGUUGGAAUUCUGUCAAAGAUGCACAAUUUGCUGGAUGAUAAAGUAUAUAACUACAAUACAUUUUUCAUACAGUAAGU